GAUGAACGCUGACAGAAUGCUUAACACAUGCAAGUCAACUUGAACUUCGGUUUGGGUGGCGGACGGGUGAGUAACGCGUACAGAACUUGCCUCACAGCUAGGGACAACAUUUGGAAACGAAUGCUAAUACCUGAUAUUAUGAUUUUAGGGCAUCCUAGAAUUAUGAAAGCUAUAUGCGCUGUGAGAGAGCUUUGCGUCCCAUUAGCUAGUUGGAGAGGUAACGGCUCACCAAGGCGAUGAUGGGUAGCCGGCCUGAGAGGGUGAACGGCCACAAGGGGACUGAGACACGGCCCUUACUCCUACGGGAGGCAGCAGUGGGGAAUAUUGGACAAUGGACCAAGAGUCUGAUCAAGCAAUUCUGUGUGCACGAUGAAGUUUUUCGGAAUGUAAAGUGCUUUCAGUUGGGAAGAAAAAAAUGACGGUACCAACAGAAGAAGUGACGGCUAAAUACGUG
rnacentral:rRNA from 1 species